rnacentral:rRNA from 1 species
GGGCUACACACGUGCUACAAUGGUGGUGACAGUGGGUUAAUCCCCAAAAGCCAUCUCAGUUCGGAUUGUCGUCUGCAACUCGACGGCAUGAAGUCGGAAUCGCUAGUAAUCGUGGAUCAGCAUGCCACGGUGAAUACGUUCCCGGGCCUUGUACACACCGCCCGUCACACCAUGGGAGUGGGAUGCAAAAGAAGUAGUUAGUUUAACCUUCGGGAGAACGAUUACCACUUUGUGUUUCAUGACUGGGGUGAAGUCGUAACAAGGUAACCCUAGGGGAACCUGGGGUUGGAUCACCUCCUU